GCCAUAUUUUCUAAAAAUUAUUUCGUGCAAUUUUUUUCUCUACUUCAGUUGAUAGGCACGGUUUUUGGCUUGAUGUGGUCAGCUGGGAUAUCGACUGCGAUUGGUAAUUUCACGUCCUGCAUCAUGGAUAGUUACUUCGAAAACGACGAGAAGGAUAACAGAAUGGCAUUGGUGCUGUUAAAGGUAUCGAAAGGAGAUAAAGGUUUCAGAGCGAUGAAUUUCUUCUAUUUAACGAAGAAGUCUAUACUUAAGAAUGUUAGCACCGCUGUAACGCAGUUACUAUCUAUAUUUUCUUCGAUAAAUUAAGAAGUAACUCAGGCCAUUCCAUUAAUUUCCAUGACAAAGAAAAUUCUUGUUAAGACAGGCUAGAAGUCUGGAAUUUUCUGUUGUUUUGGGACGCUUUGGGGACUAGGAAAGGAGCAAACGAGACGUAUGUGCCUUGAUUACCCGUCCGUGUACGUGAUCUUUUGUGCAAAACUGAUGAGCAUCUUUCGAUAUAUCUGUGUAUCCUUGCCGUCACAGGGCAUAUGAUAGGCUUGUUUAAAAUAACAUCUAAGAAA